rnacentral:other from 1 species
UGUUCCCUGCGGUGUUUGUCAAGGCCAUAGAUUCCUUGAACCAAUGCUAAAUUGGCAUCGGUUGCUGACCUGAGAAACCGCUGUUGUGUGCGCCCCUUGUCGGGUGGACCUGAUGCGGAAGGAAGGCGACCUACUCUGGACCCCGGUUCAGGAUGCCGGCCUAACGGCACUUGCGGGGGCUUU